rnacentral:pre_miRNA from 1 species
CCACAUGGCGAAUGAAAUUAUCGGUAUAGCCAUUCUUUUUGAAUGGCUAUACCGAUAAUUUCAUUCGCCAUGUGGUUC